ensembl:miRNA
AUGUUCUGUAUCUUGAUUGUAUGUCAUUAUUUAAGUACAAUCAAGAUAUAGAACAUUU